rnacentral:misc_RNA from 1 species
UUUCGGCUGAUGGCUGCUUUCCUUGCCUCUGGGCUAGGUUGGUGGCCGUUUAGUUGGGUGAUCUCGGGAAUGUCAACCGUAAAGGUGCAUGAGUGGUGUUUGGUUUGUUACGGGUGGUUGGCUCUUCGCUUGCGCGACAACUUCCACCCGGCAUACCUCUUCAGUUUUGUGUCAAUGCUUGUAUCGUAUUGAACACAUCGUGGGUUUCUUGUGUUGCAUGCCUAACCGAUGGUAUCGCUUGACGUACUGAUGUCUAUUUUCGUCCUGCUGUGCACACGCGAAGCUGGACGAACCUUAAAGCAGCCUUUGUGAUCCACUCUUUCUUCGCACACGCAUCGAUUUUGUGGCUCAUUUAGCGAUGUUUGGUAUCAUUGAUAUGGAACCUUUUCUGGGCAUGGGAUCUUUUACUAGCUCCUUUUCUGCCCUAGUUAAGCUUCUAAUAUACGAUUUCCUACCAUUCCAUCUCGGUGUGGUGGGCUUUAUCGAAUAUGAAUG